CGCCCCCCAAUUUUACAGUCUUAACAAUGUUUAUAUCGUACAUUAACAUAUUAAACACAAAUUACCUUUAUUUCAAAUCCUCACGUAUCUUAGCAUAACCUUGAAACCCUUGCUAAAUAAUUUAUCAAAAGAACUUCUCACCGACAUUCCAUUCUAUUCUAUUAGUAAAUACUUUGAUCAAAAGCCAAUUCUGAUCCUCUUUCCAGGCACAAACAUGUCAGAUACCUUCUUCAAGUUCUUCCUUCCACAUGUGAAUCUUUAGGUGAUAGCCAACUCAUACUAAACUGCAGCAAGAUGAUCAUGAAAAUCCUCACGGCUCUAUGAAGUUGGGAGUUUAGGGCUGCUGUUAUUUGGGGAAAAUAUAACUAAUUCUAACUCAAUUGAUUUGAGUUGGAUCACUUCAGGGAGGACUAGUCAGUUCUGAGUCCUGGAACAAGGCAGGAAAUGGGGCAAUCCAGCUUGAGGAUUAGCACGUAUACGAAGAAUCCAUCAAUCUGGCAUGUGACAGGUAGUAAAGAGAUUAGUUGUGUGUCCUGGAUUCUCACAUCUUUUUUCCUCAGUUGGUCGAGCACAUAAUUGAUGGAUGCACUUGAAACCAAGUUCUUUCUUAAGAGGAACAAACUAACAAGCCCAUCCAAUAGACGUGAUCAAAGGGCAUGUCGACUUCUGCCUUGCCUUGGUUGUAGCUUAUAGCUUAAUAUCUUUGAUUCAUACGCCAGCAUUUGGUGCAUAAAACAUCUGAAGUUUCGAACUGGUUAAAUCUCCAGAUCUUCCCAAGGGACACCCUAGUGAACUUAGGUCCCAUUGCAUACUUCUAUUAUUUACAGAGGGCUGUCCUUCUAUACAAUAUACAAAGAAAAUCCAGACUAGUUACUUGGUUUCUGUGAAAUCUGCAUCAAUGACAUCUCCAUCAUCUCCUUUUCCAGUUGAUUUUGAUGACCCAGCAUCGCUUCCAGCUUUAGGUCCAGCACUAGCGCUAGUCCGACUGUAAAGGAACUGCCCCAAUUGCAUGACUUCUUGGUUCAGGACAGCAAUUGCAUCUUUGAUGACCUGGGUUGAUCCAUUUGAGAUGGCAUCCUUGAGGUCAUUCAGUUUAGCCUCCACCUUCUCCUUGACAGAGACGGGUAUUUUCUGUUCCAGCUCCUUCAGCUGCUUUUCAGUCUGGUAAACAAGACUGUCAGCCUGGUUCUUAGUGUCAAUAGCUUCCCUCUUCUCUUUGUCCUCCUUCGCAUAUUUUUCUGCUUCCCUGAUCAUCCUUUCCACCUCGGUACUAGGUAGGGUGCUAGCACCAGUUAUGGUGAUAUCCUGCUUCUUUCCUGUUCCCUUGUCAAUAGCCGUAACAGAGAGGAUACCAUUGGCAUCAAUAUCAAACUUGACGUCAAUCUGUGGAACUCCGCGUGGGGCCAGAGGGAUACCUUCCAAGUGGAAGCUUCCAAGAAGUUUGUUGUCUCUUACAAGCUCUCUCUCCCCCUGGUAGACAUUUAUCUCAACACUUGUCUGUCCAUCUGCAGCAGUGGAGAACACCUCUGUUUUGGAGGUUGGUAUAGUUGUGUUCCGUGGGAUUAUCUUUGUCAUCACACCGCCUAUGGUUUCUAGCCCUAGAGAGAGCGGUGUCACAUCUAAGAGCACAAUGUUGCUUACUUCUCCAGUGAGAACAGCAGCCUGAACUGCAGCGCCAAGCGCAACAACUUCAUCAGGAUUCACUGUUACAUUAGGUUCUUUUCCAGUCAUUUUUCUCACCAAACCCUGAACAGCUGGUAUACGUGUUGAACCACCAACAAGGAUCACUUCAUCUAUAUCUUGGAGGGAAAGCUUUGCAUCUUUCAAGGCAUUUUGAACUGGAGCCCUAAGCCUAUCCAACAAAUCUUCGCACAACUCUUCAAAUUUGGCU
rnacentral:misc_RNA from 1 species